AGCGAAAAGUUUUCAAAGAUUGAAUUGAGUAUUAAGAAUAUAUUAAUCUUUAUCUAAGGACUUUCAAUGAACUGAACAUAUUAAUUGAAGUACCAUCUUGUUACGUUGAUAUUCGAUAAGAUUUAAACAUUGUUGAAAUAUCUGGUCUAAAUCUACUUUGGAUAUCAUGAUUAAUAAAUUCCAUUGUUCCAAUCUACCCAAGACAUUUAUCUCGAACAAAGAUAACUGAGUUAUCUGAUUGUAAAUGUGAUCCUCCCCUAUUGUAUUGAUAAAUAGUUACAGAAUAUUCUGAAGUCACUUAGUGGGUGGAUGUGGUUGGAGAAUAUUCAUUUUCACACAGAAAGUCGUUUUAGUGAAUGAUAAGAUGGAGGGUGACAGUAAUCGGGAAGAAACUGCAUCAAAUCUUGGUUCUACAACAAGUUUAUUGCAUUCAGUAACCCAUCCAUCUGGCACAAUUUUUCGAACAGUUGGCUUAGUUUUUCUUUGUUUCGUUGGAUUUGGCUCUUAUUUUUGUUAUGAUAAUCCAGCUGCUCUUCAAGAUAAAAUUGAACGAGAACUAAACAUUUCAACAUCGGAAUAUGUCUGGCUAUAUUCAGUUUAUUCAUGGCCAAAUGUUUUCUUAGGUUUCAUUGGAGGAUUUUUGAUUGAUAGGGUUUUUGGUAUUCGAAUGGGAACAAAUAUAUAUAUGGGUCUGACCCUAUUAGGUCAACUGUGUUUUUCAACUGGAGUAUGGUGGAAUGCUUAUUGGAUGAUGCUUUUUGGACGAUUCAUUUUUGGUAUUGGUGCAGAAUCACUUGCUGUUGCUCAAAACAAUUAUGCAGUUUUAUGGUUCAAAGGAAAAGUAUUGAAUAUGGUUUUUGGACUACAGUUGAGCUUUGCAAGGGUUGGAAGCACUGUUAACUUUAUGGUAAUGGAAGGUGUUUACAAUUUGGUUGAGGAAAGAUUCAAAGGCCUUGAUGGUCUGGCAAUUACAUUUUAUUUAGCUACCAUCACAUGUGUGUUUUCUUUUAUAUGCUCCCUUUUCUUGGGAUUCAUGGAUAAAAAGGCUGAACGAGUUUUGAGAGUUAAUAAUACUGUUCCCUCUGAUCCAGUUAGAAUGUCUGAUGUACGUUUUUUUAGUGGAAAGUUCUGGUUACUGAAUGUUAUCAUUAUAUUCUUCUAUGUGGCCAUAUUUCCUUUCUUCACCAUUGGAAAAUCUUUCUUCAUGGAGAAAUUCCAUAUGAAUGAAUCAGAUGCAAACUUUAUUUGUAGUAUAGUGUAUCUAAUUUCUGGAGUGGUGUCCCCAUUAUUAGGAUUUUUGAUCGAUAAAACAGGAAGAAACCUCUUAUGGAUUAUCACUGGAAUCUCUUUCACUAUUGUUGCACAUAUCAGCCUUACAUUUUUUACUUGGAUAAAUCCUUAUUUUGGCAUGAGCAUCAUGGGUAUAUCAUAUUCUAUACUAGCUAGUAGUUUAUGGCCUUUAAUAUCUCUCGUAAUUCCUGAGCACCAAUUAGGAACAGCUUAUGGGGUUUGCUCGGCCUUACAAAACUCUGGACUGGCAAUAUUUACUUCAAUUGUGGGGGUUAUUGUUGAUCAAUUUGGAUAUACAUGGUCGGAAUUAUUCUUUAUUGGCAGCUUAUCAGUUGCAUUAGUUGCUGCCUUAGUUUUAUUUGUAUGGGAUUUAUGCCAAAAGGAUAUCUUGAAUAUGAGCCCAAAUGCUAGAUUGAGGCAUCAGCAGAGAAUGAUUAAUGGUUCAAGUGGGGAAUUAGUAUGGAGAUGCUCCUCAGCUUUUUCUAAUUUGAUUAAUUUGAAAAGAGCGGUUGUAGAUUCUACCGUUAUUGAUAAGGGGCAGCUCAAAUUUUAGAGAGGGAAAAAUUGAAUGUACAGAGUUCUCAAGGGAGUAGUUAUAGUGAACAUGGACAACCUUCCAAUUUUGAUAUAAGAAUUAGAUACUUGUCGAGAAUUGGCGCACAGUUGCCCCCAUCCUAUAAUUCAGUUGCAAGAACUCUUACUUAUUUGAGGUAACCUGGAAACUGGAGAUACUCUGUCGUGAUAAUGAUCUGUACAAAAUCGUGAUAUUAUUAGCUUUAAGAAUAUUUUUACUUUAUGACUAUUGUCCAAUUGAUUUUUCUGAGAAAUCUUUGACCAUGUCAAUUGCAUAAGAAAAUUUUGCUCAACAUAAUUCAAAAGAUCUCUUGGAUAUACAAAUGUAAAAUAUAACUUAUUUGUGUUACGUUCUAUGUGUGCAUAUAAUAAUUGUAAUAUUAAGUUGAGAAUUUCCUCUUAUUUAAUUUUAAUCAAUUCAAGAAUUUUUUCAUGAUGUAGAUUUAUAUAAGGAAAAUUUUAUAAUAUUGAUUGAAUUUUUAUGGAUUUGAAAAUAAAUGCCAGUGGAAAUAA